GGGAGUCGCUCAGCACGUGUUCGACACAAUUCCCCUCCUUUUGCUCCGUAGUUACCAUACCGAAAUACUUUGACAGAUAAAGUGAGUUAAAAGCGAUCCGGAUUGGACUUUCUUCGAAGAACUCAGCAAUUUGGUGACCCUCGACGUUCUUGGAAAGUACCGGGGUCUCGGGAACACGCGGCCACCGAGACGCACAAAAGCUCUUCGCAGGAGCCACUGAAAGGUGGGGAUUGAUCGUAUCCCAGGUACGGCAUCCUGCAAUAAGCCAGUAUGGAAGGCUGGUUAGCCAACGACAGGUAAGAUCCCACCUUGAAGCCCGGGACAACCUAAAACAGGCACAGUCAUGAUUACUUGGCAGAGUCACUGUGAGCACUGGCUCACUUGAACAUGAAGUGACGAACUGCAACCAUCAUAGGAAAAGCCGGCUGAUGAAAGGUGGAGGGGGAACAGGAGUCAGAUAUGUCAGCUCUGGCAGCAGAGGUGGUCUGGGAACGGGGCAUGUCGCGUUUUAUUUUAUUUUAUUUGACCUUUGUGGUAUGGAAGCCCACUAACGCAUGUACGUUUUUUGGUUUAGUGCAUGACUUUGGAACAGUGUGGUUUCAGGCGGCUGAUGGUAAACCCACCCAUAUUGGGCUUUGGAUUUGGACAUACUGGUUUCGAUUUCCCUUCCCAAAAGAUUGGUUUCAGUUUGCUGAUGGUUACUUACGGUUAGACUUUUCGACGUUGGUUGCACCAACGGCGUUCUUAGAUUUACUUAUCAUUUAAUGCGCAUGGUUCUGACCAUUGCGCAAGGGGGGAGGUAUUGAGGAGAAUUAGAAAAAAAAAAAUUAGAAAACAAGGUUUUUCUUCACCAUACUUGCAAACAAUGAUUGACAUCCUGCUAAAUGAGUGUUAAAUAUUUGAAAAAAGUGUUCAACAGAUGGGUAGAAGCAGUCCCAUCAAAAGACCAAAGUGCGGCUACAGUAAUCAAGUUUCUGACUAGAGAAGUCAUGCCAAGGUUUGGAAUUCCGUCACAAAUUAGCUUGGGCGAUAGGGCAGCGUUUAUUCAGAAGACACUCAAACAAGUGAUUUCACAUCUGCAUGUCAAAUAAAGACUAGUCUGUGUCUACAAUCCUCAAACCACAAGGUAUGGUGGAGAGAGGAAUGGGACGCUUAAGACAAAGAUUAACAAAAUUAAAUUAGAGUACUAAAUUAAAGGACUAAUGCACUACGACUGACACUAAUGAGUUAUCGCAUGAAAACUAACAAAACGACACAUCUAACCCCGCAUGAAAUGCUUUAGGGUCGACCCAUGCCUUCACUUAACAUUCGAGGGUCCCAAAAGGGACUUCCAUUAGAGUAAUUAGAAAUAGAAUUAAGGAAAAUAUGUUUGAACAUCUAACUGUUGUACAUAAGUUUGUAAUUCCAGCAAGAGAAACACAAAGUUCCAGGGCCAGAGGAGGAGCCAGAUGCAGACACGCCCGGAGCCGACCAACUACCCAAGGAUGAUGCAAUCAGAUUUCGGCAGGGAUGGAUGGAGAGCCCAGUGAGCGAUGGGCACUACAGUUGCAGCGGGUGCCGUCCAGGCUUACCUGGGGAUCGAGUAUACACCGGGGAGUUUGGACGAGGGACCACCAGAGGGGCCCGACCUGAUCUGGCUGGAGAACAUGGAACAGACCCCUGCCCCACUGUCCAAGAGCCCCACGCAAUGCAGCGCACCAAUACAUGAAGAUCAUCCGGCCCCUGCCCCACUGUCCAAGAGCCCCCACGCAAUGCAGCGCACCAAUACAUGAAGAUCACCUGACCCCCCUUUUCCCAUCCCAGCCACUGCAAACGGACCCCACCACCAACUACAGAGGUAAUUUCCGACCCAAACCCCUUGGCUGUCACCCUGACACUGACACGCCCUUACACACACACAAUCACGUCUGAACCAGGCCCAAAAGACUGUCUCUGGCCUGAGGAAAGAUGAAGCCUGAAUCGACAUCAUUCAGUAUGGAUACCAGCCCUGGAUUGUGGUUUAUGCUGGGAUUGAUAGUGUGGUAGAACUUUUCAUUUUUUCCAGGCGAUUUUAAGUGAUUUUGUGCUACCUUCCAUAAAAGCGAACGGUGGUGUAGAUAUCUGUGCAGGAAAACCAUGGUCGGACAGGAUAGAUGGUGAACACUAGCAUGUUGUGGUUAUUUGAUAAUUUUUGUGGUGUUGACUUUCAAUGCAUGCUGAAAGUGUAGGACUUUGCAUCACAUAUAUUUAGAGUUAUUUGUUGUGAUUUUGAUUCUUAUUUUGUUUAUGGUUACACCUAUAUGUAUGCCCU
ensembl:lncRNA